rnacentral:rRNA from 1 species
AGUUUGAUCCUGGCUCAGGAUGAACGCUGGCGGCGUGCCUAAUACAUGCAAGUCGAGCGAAUCUAAGGGAGCUUGCUCCCGACAGAUUAGCGGCGGACGGGUGAGUAACACGUGGGCAACCUACCUGUAAGACUGGGAUAACUUCGGGAAACCGGAGCUAAUACCGGAUAACAUAUGAGUCCACAUGGUCUCAUAUUAAAAGAUGGCUUCUCGCUAUCACUUAUGGAUGGGCCCGCGGCGCAUUAGCUAGUUGGUGAGGUAACGGCUCACCAAGGCAACGAUGCGUAGCCGACCUGAGAGGGUGAUCGGCCACACUGGGACUGAGACACGGCCCAGACUCCUACGGGAGGCAGCAGUAGGGAAUCUUCCGCAAUGGACGAAAGUCUGACGGAGCAACGCCGCGUGAGCAAGAAGGUCUUCGGAUCGUAAAGCUCUGUUGUUAGGGAAGAACAAGUAUCGUUCGAAUAGGGCGGUACCUUGACGGUACCUAACCAGAAAGCCACGGCUAACUACGUGCCAGCAGCCGCGGUAAUACGUAGGUGGCAAGCGUUAUCCGGAAUUAUUGGGCGUAAAGCGCGCGCAGGCGGUCCUUUAAGUCUGAUGUGAAAGCCCACGGCUCAACCGUGGAGGGUCAUUGGAAACUGGGGGACUUGAGUGCAGAAGAGGAGAGCGGAAUUCCACGUGUAGCGGUGAAAUGCGUAGAGAUGUGGAGGAACACCAGUGGCGAAGGCGGCUCUCUGGUCUGUAACUGACGCUGAGGCGCGAAAGCGUGGGAGCAAACAGGAUUAGAUACCCUGGUAGUCCACGCCGUAAACGAUGGGUGCUAGGUGUGGGGGGCGACAAUCCUCCGUGCCGCAGUUAACGCAAUAAGCACUCCGCCUGGGGAGUACGGCCGCAAGGUAAAACUCAAAGGAAUUGACGGGGGCCCGCACAAGCAGUGGAGCGUGUGGUUUAAUUCGAGGCAACGCGCAGAACCUUACCAGGGUUUGACAUCAUACCGACGUCUGUAGAAACACAGAUUUCCGCUUAGGCGGACGGUAUGACAGGUGUUGCAUGGUUGUCGUCAGCUCGUGUCGUGAGAUGUUGGGUUAAGUCCCGCAACGAGCGCAACCCCUAUCCAAUGUUGCCAACAGGUAAAGCUGGGGACUCAUUGGAGACUGCCGGAGACGAUCUGGAGGAAGGUGGGGAUGAGGUCAAAUCAUCAUGGCCCUUAAGCCCUGGGCUACACACGCGCUACAAUGGCCGGUACAACGGGCAGCGAAGGAGCGAUCCGGAGCGAAUCCCAAAAAGCCGGCCCCAGUUGGAAUCGCAGGCUGCAACUCGCCUGCGUGAACAUGGAAUUGCUAGUAAUCGCGAAUCAGCUACGUCGCGGUGAAUACGUUCCCGGGCCUUGUACACACCGCCCGUCAAGCCAUGGAAGCUGGCAACACCCGAAGUCAGUGACCCAACCUGCAAAGGAGGGAGCUGCCGAAGGUGGGGCUGGUGACUGGGGCUAAGUCGUAACAAGGUAACC